CCUACGGGGGGCUGCAGUGGGGGAUAUUGCACAAUGGGGGGAACCCUGAUGCAGCGACGCCGCGUGAGGGAAGACGGCCUUCGGGUUGUAAACCUCUGUCGCAGGGGACGAAGGAGAUGACGGUACUCUGUGAGGAAGCCAGGGCUAACUACGUGCCAGCAGCCGCGGUAAGAGGGGGGUGGCGAGCGUUGUCCGGAAUUACUGGGUGUAAGGGGAGAGGAGGCGGGAUAGGAAGUUGAAUGUAAAAACUACCGGCUUAACCGAUAGAAGCGUUCAAAACUGAUAUUCUUGAGUGAAGUAGAGGCAGGCGGAAUUCCUAGUGUAGCGGUGAAAUGCGUAGAUAUUAGGAGGAACACCAGUGGCGAAGGCGGCCUGCUGGGCUUUAACUGACGCUGAGGCUCGAAAGCGUGGGUAGCAAACAGGAUUAGAUACCCCAGUAGUC
rnacentral:rRNA from 1 species